CUUCAGAUUCUCAAAGAGCUGAAGAGAAUGGGGGUGGAGAGAACCGGGCUGAGCCCACCAAAGGUGGGUCCAGGGCCGGAAGCUGAAGGUCGAAGGUUGGUGAAAACCCUGUGUCCUUGGAGAAAGCUGGUUCCCGUUUUCCUGAGAGGGAGCCCAGAGCUUGAAAGGCCGCAGUUGGCACUUCAAGAAGGAAGUGGAGAAUAAAGACAGCGCCUGGAGCAAUAGUAGCAACUCGGAAUGGGACUGGGGAAGCCCUUUGGAUAUCCAGCUGCAGAAACAGACAUCCCAACGCUAUUUACACAGCUCUCUAUAUAUAUAAAAAAGAAAAUAUGAAUAUUACUAUUCAGUGCAUGCCUUGUUGAGGACGUGGUCCCCUCCCUUUUCUGCACCUUCCGAUGUGAACUUUGACGCUCUUUCAUGUCUGGGGCACUGGAAGAGAGAUGCCUACUGUGUAUUUAGAAAAUUUGAAGAGACUGGUGGGAAUUAGCCUCAGAGGCAACCAACUGCCUGGGAGGGAUGCUGGUGGAGAAAGCAGUGUAACUGCAAAAGGCUAAAUAGGAAAGAAAGUGAGGAGAACUCAGGGCCAGUUUGUACGGGCAGUCUGGGGUAUCUCCAUUUCUAAGUCGUGACAAGUCCUAGCCUCUCUGUGUCUCUACCUUCCUAGAUAGAUGGCUAGUCCUACUGUAACAUCAAGACAAAUGGGAUUUUUUUUUCCUACCAAUCUGGUGUCUCCGGUGCUUCACUUAAAUUUUGUUGGUGCUAAGUGUGUUCUUGCUGGUGCUGCCAUGGUAUUCUGUUGCCAGACUUGCAAGGCCGAGGGGACAAGAGAGAUUUCUAUUUUGCUGUUUUAGAUUCUUUUUCUAAAGGGAUCAGUCACAAAAGUGCCACUUGAGAGUCUUUUCUCUUUCUCUAUGUGGGGAUGAAUAUCCAGAGGUGUUUUGGAGCAAACCUUGGGGUCUGGGAGGGAGGAAGGGGGUGGGUGGCACCGAGGGGCUUGCUGGUUACAAGGUGGAAAGUUGACCACCUCACAUGUGACUUGUUUGCUGUCUCCUCCACCUCUGCCAGAGUAUCCUGGGAGUUCAGUCCACAGCCUCCCCCACUCCCUCAGGGGAUUUUAGGGCGUAGGCUUUAUGGAUUAAAGAGCCAAGAAAUGGCUAUGUUCUGGUCAAGGGUGAUUUAUAAGCAAGGGAUGUUGGGGGAGGGAGUGGGUCAUCUAAAUGAAAUGCACCAGCAUCUCACUGACUGACGGAGAGUCUGAUGUGUUUUUUGUUUUUGUUUUUUUUUUUUUUCAGGAUAAGCUACUAUUUUCAGAAGUUUCUAGAAGGGCUAAAAAAAGAUGUGUGCUGGACUGAGACUUGGCUGCAAAGACUCUUCAGGGAGAGAUGAUUAUUUUUUGCUUUCAUUAAAAAAAAAAAAUCCAACAACAGGUAUUAUUCCUCUGUGUAGGGCAUACACACUGCUGUGUGCAAAGCUGAGAUGGUGAGGCACCAGGCUGCAGGUUCAGUUAUUCUAUGAAGCUGGAUUUGCAGGUCACCAUCCAGUACUCUGGACAGGGGGUCUGCUGGGCUAGUUAGUGGACACCCUUCCAGUUCUAAGAAGCCAGCAGAGGGAACAGCCAUUUUAAGGUUGCCAUGGGGUGGAAAUGGCAAUUCUUCCUCAAGGGCUUUGCUGAAAAUUACCAGGUCCUUUAGAAUGCAGGAGCUUUCAGUGCUGCUGCAAGCCUGGAGCUGUCUUUUCUUUCUUUUUUUAAAUCCACGUUCUCCUAAAUAGCCCUUUCAAGAAAAAUACAACCUAGAACUAUGGCAGGUGAGGGCAGCUCCUUCUCUCCUCCCCUCCCCAAGAGCCUGGAACUCAGCAAAGUGAAAAGGAAAGCUUGUUUAUAGAGAAUUUGAUUCCCUUCAUGGCUGGAGCCCUCCUCACAGUUCUGUUGACGGGCUGGGUGUGUAGACAGGGUCGUCAGGGAGCCUCAGGCGAUAUCCCCACCAAGCCGUGAACUUAGAGAAGGCAAUUCGAAUGAUAUGAAAUGCAGUCUCUGCUUUUAUUUGGUUACUUUCCUAGCCAGACACUAGAUUUUCCAGUUUACCCCAUUUUCUGGGGAGGGGAUUUUCACUGCUAUGGUUGUACUUGGUCACAGCUCUCUGCUGCUUUAAGGCUGCACCUUCAAGACCACAGUGGAGACAUGCUGACCACUGAGACACAGGCUAAGGGUCAGAGAAUCCCUUUUUCGACCCUGACUAGCUUGUGACAUUUACCCUGGAGGAUCCAAACUCCAGAUGCUGGGGUUUUGGGGCAAUUUUUAUUUCAAUGAAGCCACACUGCUGAGAGAACUGGGCACCAAGGACCCUCCUAAUGGAGCUUUACAGCCAAGUCCCUUGUACAUAUUCUCUUAUAUUAUUAGAAACUGUGUAUUUAUCUAACCCCGGUUUCUUCUUGCACAUCAUUAAUUUGAGUGCAUUUCUCAACUGCCCCGAUUUUUGACAAGGGGUUGUUUUUAAUGCUUGUUUUUAUAUGAGAUUUGACUUCUUGAUGGACAUUUGUAUUAGGAAAUUGAAGCAUGAUAUAUAUGUAUAUAUUGUCUCCACCGUCUCUCCUAUUGCAUUACUUGGAUUGCAUGAGAUAGUGGGGUGGUGGUUUUUUUUUUUUUUUUUUUUUUUUUUUAAAUAUUUCCACAGUGUGCAAAGUGCUGGCACCAUCCCUCCCUCUCCUCCCCCCGCUCCUUUUCUCUGGCUGCCAAGGAGUCAUUGAUUUUGAUUAGCUUCACUGCAGAGCGUCUGUGAAGAGAGGGAGGGAGGCUUUGAAAUAAAUUUUAAAAAAGACCUCAUAUCGGGUUUCAGCAGACAGCAGUGUGGGGGGUGUGUGUGUGUGUGUCCGUGCAAAGCAGAGGGAGGCCUCUGAGAUCAUCGUUUAGGUAGCUUGCUGCAUAAUGAGGUGUGGAGCAAACAGAAGGGCCUCCUCUUUCCUGGGAGCUCACAGAGGAUGGGGUUCCGGGAGCCAUGGAUUGGAACCCCUUGGGACUUCAACAGUCCAAAUAGAAUCCAUUCUGUCCUGGAAGCUUCUCUCCCUCCCCUAGGAGCAAAUAAGAUCUCUUUUCUCCUUUUCAAAUUUGGGGUUCCAUUGCAUGGUCCUUUGGGCACAAAUGUAGCCUGAGUAGCAGGUUUCUUUGGGGGAGCCCAUGUGCCGCCUUGGCUGCUGUCCGUGGUCCUGAGCGGUGCAUCCCCUAGAACCCACUUCCCAUUUUGUUCCAUUUUCCCAGGGAUCCUGGAGACUUCUUUUCCACUUCCAGGUCUCAUUUUUAAAUUCUUUUCUAUUUCAAGGGGGGGAAAUGGGGUGGUUUACAUGAUACUGUCACAGAACAAUGGAGCUGUGACUUUGGUGUCACAAUUUAUGUAUCUGAUCUCAUGUACUCCUAGCUUUAUUACCAUGUUUCUGACAGUGACAAAGUAUCACUUCCCCUCACUGGGAACCUGUGGAAGCCCCCCUCUGAUACUGCACAAGUAUCUUUCGGGACACUGGCUUGUCACUGUGGACCUGUUAAGUGCCCACUUGGUAUCAGAAAGCUGCAGUGACCAGAAUACAGGUUUUGUUCUUCUACACUGAUACCGGUUCCUUUUCUGAAGGUCCCUUUACAUCCACCUGGGCCAAUCACAGGGUCAGAAGCUGGUGUGCAGGGCGAGGGGGCAGGCCAGACACCCUGGCCUUCUCAUGGGAGUUGACGCAGGGAGGGAGUUGAUGUCAAAAGUGUCAUUUUAAAAUGUAAACUGAAAGCUUAUUUUUUAAAGUUUAAUUCAUUCAACACCUAUUUAUUGAGUACCUACAAUGUGCCAGGUUGUCCUCUGGGAAGAGACUUACAUAUUGAUCACGGAGGGGCAGACCCACUUACGUUCAACAUCCCUUUCCGGUCUGGUUCAUGGUCUUUGACAGAUUUGUCAGGUCAUCACCCCAAGCCUUGCUGGCCGAUUGCUCUACAGUAUUUAUAUUUACCGAGAGCUAUACAUACUAUCAUGAAGGCGAUUCAAAGCUGAUGACCUCAACUCAUUCCCAACAUGAAAAGACUGGUUCUUGCUGCUUCACACAGUAAAGAAAGCUUCCAUGUAUGCUUGCUCACCACUCCCAAGUACUGUGCUAAGUUUCCCCCUUAGCUAUUCCUUGCGCCUACUUUGGAAGACAGUGCUACUGUUGUUCUUAUUAUUCUUCCUGUUUUACAGUUGAUGAAGCUGAGGCUCAGAGAGGUUAUACAACUUAGCCUAAGCUGCAAAGAGUGAUGUGGCUGAGCCAAGAUCCAGUAUGUGUGACUCCCCACCCCUAAGCCCAAAGGACCAUCCUGCUAUACUGGGUUCCUUCCUGAGUGCUGUUCAAAGGCAAGCACAGGCCUGGAGCUCAACAAGGAGCAGGGGAGCCUAACUAAGUGGCAUUUGGGGACACUCCAGGACAGGCUGGAUGGUUUAGCUGGGGAUUUUAUGUAUUGUUCCUUGCCUUUUGUGUUCCUCGUUUCUAUAAGGUCGCUGGGACAAACAGGGCCUCUUCAACUUACUUACCAGGAUCUGGGAAGCCAUUCUCACCUCCUUUCUGUUCCCUCCCCCACUCGAACCCCCAAUUCCUCCCCUAAAGGUUCUUUGCACUAUAAGCGCCCAGGAGCCUGUGUGUGUGGCAGGGAUGGCUGUGGGGCUCUUUGGAACCUCAGUGAGGCCUCUGACUCAGCUGGAGAGGCAAUAAGUUUGGGGACAUUCCGUUCUGGGUUCUGCGCUUGGUGGUUUGUUGUGCUCUUUUGUAAGAGGAAUUUCAUACCUUGGAGACACUUUGUACAUAUUUGUAAUGACUUUAUUAAAAAAAAAAAAACUCGUUGUGUGCUUC
ensembl:lncRNA